AGUGAACGCUGGCGGUAGGCCUAACACAUGCAAGUCGAACGGCAGCACAGGAGAGCUUGCUCUCUGGGUGGCGAGUGGCGGACGGGUGAGGAAUACAUCGGAAUCUACUCUGUCGUGGGGGAUAACGUAGGGAAACUUACGCUAAUACCGCAUACGACCUACGGGUGAAAGCAGGGGACCUUCGGGCCUUGCGCGAUUGAAUGAGCCGACGUCGGAUUAGCUAGUUGGCGGGGUAAAGGCCCACCAAGGCGACGAUCCGUAGCUGGUCUGAGAGGAUGAUCAGCCACACUGGAACUAAGACACGGUCCAGACUCCUACGGGAGGCAGCAGUGGGGAAUAUUGGACAAUGGGCGCAAGCCUGAUCCAGCCAUACCGCGUGGGUGAAGAAGGCCUUCGGGUUGUAAAGCCCUUUUGUUAGAAAGAAAUCCAGCUGGCUAAUACCCGGUUGGGAUGACGGUACCCAAAGAAUAAGCACCGGCUAACUUCGUGCCAGCCGCCGCCGUAA
rnacentral:rRNA from 1 species